UGACCUUAAAUCAGGUAGGAUUACCCGCUGAACUUAAGCA
rnacentral:rRNA from 1 species